UGGACCCGGGAAAGCCUGACCCUGUAUCCCUCACAACCCUCGGGACCUCUUUUGCUGGAGCUGGCUCGAGUGCACCUCAGGGAUGAAGGAGAAUUCACCUGCCGAGCUCAGAUCCCUCUGGGCACCCAGCACGUCUCCCUGAGCCUCUCCCUGCAGCGGAAACCAGGGCCCGUGGCAGAGGUGACUCUGGUGGCCGUCGUGGGAUCUGCUGUGAAGAUCCUGCUUCUCUGCCUCUGCCUCAUCUUCCUCCGAGUGAGGUCCCGCAGGGGGAAGGUGCACCGGGCAGCAGGGGGCACGGAGGAUGCAGACACUGUCACGGGCUAAUUCCUCAGGUGAGUGAUGUGAUGUCUCAGCUCCCACAACCCACUGGACACCUCCUCCGUGAUGGCCUCCAGGAUUGCUCUGAUCAGCAUGGCCAAGUUGAGCUCCCCAUCUCCUCCCCAAGCCCCCUUGUCCUGCUGGGUCCCCCGUCCGGCUGAUGACUGGGUGGCUGAGUCUCUAUGUGCAGAUCCAGGGUGAGGUUCCCCACCUUGACCCCCUUCCCCACACCCCAUGGGUCACUCACUCUUGUCCCUCCUUCUCCUGAGCUCGGCUCAUCCUGAGCACUUUUCUCCACCCGGCCCUGGUCAUUCCUGGGGCCUCACUUCUUCCCUGCUCCCUGAGUCCACCCCACCCCUGCCUCUGUCUCUCUCCAGCACAGGCCUCCAGACUGGGCCUCCAGAUAUGUCCUUGUCUGGCCCCGAGCAGUGUGGACGGCCGUGCCUCCCCCAUUGCUGGAGAACGAGGUGCAAACGCCACGGCCGGGACUGGGGGCCUCGCAGGGUCUGUCCCCUGCCGGACUGUCCUCCUAAUCCCUCCCUUCUCUGCG